rnacentral:miRNA from 1 species
UAUGACUAACAGAGCGCACGAGG